UAUUUGGUACCAUGUUGCUGGGGUGUCACGUGUUCCACGGUGCAAGGAAUAGUCCUAAACCAAAAGACUUGUCCCGUCAAAAUAUCAGUAGUUCCUAUGGAAAAGAACUAAGGGACUAAACUAUGAACUCUUGGUUGAGGGAUGCAAAAUCUACAAUGCCAGCAUCCUCCCUUCAGUAUGAGGGCUGCUGUGAUCUCCAUGUCAAGAAAUCUGGUUUCUGCUGGCAAGAGGUUCAGCAAGAAUUUUCUGCUGGGAUUCGGGAAAGGACUAGAAACAUCUUCGGAAAGGCUGGUGAGAACAGCAGCCCUUCCACACCCCUGGAUACUCAUUGUGAUUGUUGAACGGCUGCUCCUGGAGCAGCAGAAGGAGGAGUCUUCCUGGGCAGGGACUAUCACUUCCACUUCUGUGAGCUCUGGUCCUGAGAACCUAGCGACGACUGGAAAGGACAGCACAGCAAUGAGAACAGAUGUGAGUUCCAUCCCAGAACAUUAAAGCCCUGCAUUUUGGAGUACACUGCUUUGCAAUAAUCUAGUUUUCUCAGUAUGUCAAGAGCAUGUUUUCUUGCUUUUCUGGGCAUUCUAUCAUGACAACUUUCUAUGUGGCCCAAAUAAAAUUCUAAAUAGAAUGCUUUAGUUGCA
rnacentral:lncRNA from 1 species